CAAGUCGAGGGGUAACAGGGAAAAGCUUGCUUUUCCGCUGGCGACCGGCGCACGGGUGCGUAACGCGUAUGCAACCUACCUCUUACUGGGGGUAUAGCCCAGAGAAUUUGGAUUAAUCCCCCAUAGUACCAUUUUAUCGCAUGAUGAAAUGGUUAAAGGUUACGGUAAGAGAUGGGCAUGCGUCCCAUUAGUUAGUUGGUGAGGUAACGGCUCACCAAGACUCCGAUGGGUAGGGGUUCUGAGAGGAUGAUCCCCCACACUGGUACUGAGACACGGACCAGACUCC
rnacentral:rRNA from 1 species